GGCUUUGGGCAGGCAGGAGCGAAAGGGCCAGGGGUUGCCUGUCCUCCCCCACCCUGUUGAGGCCUUCCUCCCCCUCUGCUGAGCCUCGGUUAAUUAUAACUCUGACCUAAGUGCCCUGUGACGUCAAGCCCGGGCCAGCCCUGCCCAGGAGACCCAGCAACCAGGUCCAUGUCUCAGCCAUGCUCCCCACGGAGGUCCCCCAAUCCCACCCGGGCCCCUCAGCGUUGCUUCUGCUGCAGCUGUUGCUGCCCCCCACAUCUGCCUUCUUCCCCAACAUCUGGAGCCUGCUGGCUGCCCCUGGCUCCAUCACCCACCAAGACCUAACUGAGGAGGCAGCGCUCAACGUCACCCUGCAGCUCUUCCUGGAGCAGCCACCCCCAGGCCGCCCCCCUCUUCGUCUUGAGGACUUCCUGGGUCGAACACUCCUUGCUGAUGACCUCUUUGCCGCCUACUUUGGACCUGGUUCUUCUCGGCGGUUCCGAGCAGCCUUAGGUGAGGUGUCUCGUGCCAAUGCAGCCCAGGACUUCCUGCCAACUUCCAGGAAUGACCCCGACCUGCACUUUGAUGCUGAGCGACUGGGUCAGGGACGCGCGCGCCUGGUAGGGGCUCUGCGGGAGACCGUGGUGGCAGCCAGGGCCCUUGACCACACCCUGGCUCGCCAGCGCCUCGGGGCUGCACUUCAUGCCCUGCAGGAUUUCUACAGUCAUAGCAACUGGGUGGAGCUGGGCGAGCAGCAGCCACACCCUCACCUCCUCUGGCCAAGGCAGGAGCUCCAGAACCUGGCACAAGUGGCCGAUCCUACCUGCUCCGAUUGCGAGGAGUUGAGCUGCCCCAGGAAUUGGCUGGGCUUCACACUCCUCACCUCUGGCUACUUUGGAACUCAUCCCCCGAAACCUCCAGGCUGCAAAACUGGCCCUUCUAGCCUCCAUCCAGGCCUUCAGCCUUCUGCGAAGCCGCCUGGGAGACAGGGAUUUCUCCAGGCUGCUGGACAUCACCCCAGCCUCCAGCCUGAGCUUUGUCCUGGACACCACGGGCAGCAUGGGUGAGGAGAUCAACGCUGCCAAAAUCCAGGCUCGCCACCUUGUGGAGCAGCGGAGAGGCAGCCCCAUGGAGCCUGUCCACUAUGUCCUGGUGCCUUUUCAUGACCCAGGGUUCGGCCCUGUCUUUACAACCAGUGACCCUGACAGCUUCUGGCAACAGCUUAAUGAGAUCCAUGCCUUGGGGGGUGGAGACGAGCCUGAGAUGUGCCUGUCAGCCCUGCAGCUGGCCCUGCUGCACACACCUCCACUCUCAGAUAUCUUUGUCUUCACGGAUGCCUCCCCCAAGGAUGCCUUUCUCACCAACCAGGUGGAAUCCCUGACUCAGGAGCGGCGCUGCCGGGUAACAUUCCUGGUGACUGAAGAUACAUCAAGGGUUCAGGGUCGAGCUCGGCGUGAGAUCUUGUCCCCUCUGCGUUUUGAGCCAUACAAAGCAGUGGCCCUGGCCUCAGGAGGAGAGGUGAUCUUCACCAAAGACCAGCACAUUCGAGACGUGGCAGCCAUUGUUGGGGAGAGCAUGGCUGCCCUGGUGACUCUUCCCCUGGACCCUCCUGUUGUGGUGCCUGGGCAGCCACUUGUGUUCAGCGUGGAUGGGCUGCUCCAGAAGAUCACAGUCCGGAUCCACGGAGACAUCAGCAGCUUCUGGAUCAAGAACCCUGCAGGGGUCUCCCAGGGCCAGGAGGAAGGCGGGGGUCCUCUAGGUCACACUCGCCGCUUUGGGCAGUUCUGGAUGGUGACCAUGGAUGACCCUCCACAGACAGGAACCUGGGAGAUCCAGGUCACAGCUGAGGACACCCCUGGGGUGAGAGUGCAAGCCCAGACCUCCCUGGACUUCCUCUUCCACUUUGGGAUCCCCAUGGAGGAUGGACCCCACCCUGGCCUCUACCCCCUGACUCAGCCAGUUGCAGGUCUUCAGACCCAGCUGCUGGUAGAAGUGACAGGGUUGGGUUCCAGAGCCAAUCCUGGGGAUCCUCAGCCGCAUUUCUCCCACGUCAUCCUUCGAGGGGUCCCAGAGGGUGCCGAACUAGGCCAGGUGCCCUUGGAGCCCGUGGGACCUCCGGAGCGAGGUCUCCUCGCAGCCUCGCUGUCGCCCACGCUGCUGUCAACCCCUAGACCCUUCUCCCUGGAGCUGAUUGGCCAGGACGCAGCGGGGCGGCGCCUGCACAGGGCUGCCCCUCAGCCUAGCACUGUAGUCCCUGUCCUUCUGGAGCUUAGUGGCCCCUCGGGUUUCUUGGCCCCGGGCAGCAAAGUCCCGCUCAGUCUCCGCAUCGCCAGCUUCUCGGGCCCUCAGGAUCUUGACCUUAGG
rnacentral:misc_RNA from 1 species